rnacentral:rRNA from 1 species
UACAGAGGGUGCGAGCGUUAAUCGGAAUUACUGGGCGUAAAGCGCACGUAGGCGGCUUGGUAUGUCGGGUGUGAAAUCCCCGGGCUCAACCUGGGAACUGCCUUUGUGACUGCAAGGCUUGAGUGCGGCAGAGGGGGAUGGAAUUCCGCGUGUAGCAGUGAAAUGCGUAGAUAUGCGGAGGAACACCGAUGGCGAAGGCAAUCCCCUGGGUCUGCACUGACGCUCAUGCACGAAAGCGUGGGGAGCAAACAGG